GUUGGGCGUGGUGGCGUACACCUGUAAUCCCAGUCACUUGUGAGGCUGAGGCAGGAGGAUUACAAAUUCAAAGCCAGACUCAGUAAAAGUGACACACUAAGCAACUCAGUGAGACCCUGUCUCAA
rnacentral:sRNA from 1 species